rnacentral:rRNA from 1 species
UGGCACCUCGAUGUCGGCUCGUCGCAUCCUGGGGCUGGAGUCGGUCCCAAGGGUUGGGCUGUUCGCCCAUUAAAGCGGUACGCGAGCUGGGUUUAGAACGUCGUGAGACAGUUCGGUCCCUAUCCGCUGUGCGCGUAGGAAUAUUGAGAAGGGCUGUCCCUAGUACGAGAGGACCGGGACGGACGAACCUCUGGUGUGCCAGUUGUCCUGCCAAGGGCAUGGCUGGUUGGCUACGUUCGGAAAGGAUAACCGCUGAAAGCAUCUAAGCGGGAAGCCUGCUUCGAGAUGAGUAUUCCCACCCUCUUGAAGGGUUAAGGCUCCCAGUAGACGACUGGGUUGAUAGGCCAGAUGUGGAAGCCCUGUAAGGGGUGGAGCUGACUGGUACUAAUAGGCCGAGGGCUUGUCCUCAGUUG